GACGAACGCUGGCGGCGUGCCUAAUACAUGCAAGUCGAACGCUGAAGGAGGAGCUUGCUUCUCUGGAUGAGUUGCGAACGGGUGAGUAACGAGUAGGUAACCUGCCUGGUAGCGGGGAAUAACUAUUGGAAACGAUAGCUAAUACCGCAUAAGAGUAGAUGUCGCAUGACAUUUGCUUAAAGGGUGCAAUUGCAUCACUACCAGAUGGACCUGCGUUGUAUUAGCUAGUUGGUGAGGUAACGGCUCACCAAGGCAACGAUACAUAGCCGACCUGAGAGGGUGAUCGGCCACACUGGGACUGAGACACGGCCCAGACUCCUACGUGAGGCAGCGGUAGGGAAUCUUCGGCAAUGGACGGAAGUCUGACCGAGCAACGCCGCGUGAGUGAAGAAGGUUUUCGGAUCGGAAAGCUCUGUUGUAAGAGAAGAACGAGUGUGAGAGUGGAAAGUUCACACUGUGACGGUAUCUUACCAGAAAGGGACGGCUAACUACGUG
rnacentral:rRNA from 1 species